rnacentral:sRNA from 1 species
GAGUCCACCCCAGAGAUUGCCGAGCAGCGAGGAGAGCGUGACAGCCAGACCCAGGCCAUCCUCACCAAGCUCAAGUGUGCUGCAGGCUUGGCAGAGCUGGCCGCCAGGAAGUACAAGCAGGCUGCCAAGUGCCUCCUGCUGGCUUCCUUUGAUCACUGUGACUUCCCUGAGCUGCUGUCCCCCAGCAACGUGGCCAUCUACGGUGGCCUGUGCGCCUUGGCUACCUUUGACCGGCAGGAGCUGCAGCGCAAUGUCAUCUCCAGCAGCUCCUUCAAGUUGUUCUUGGAGCUGGAGCCACAGGUCCGAGACAUCAUCUUCAAAUUCUACGAGUCCAAGUACGCCUCAUGUCUCAAGAUGCUGGACGAGAUGAAGGUGGGGCCCCGCCUGGGGUAGGGGUGAGGUGGGGCCCUGCCUGGCCUCCUGUCCUGGUCCUGACCAGCCCCUUCCCCAGGACAACCUGCUCCUGGACAUGUAUCUGGCCCCCCAUGUCAGGACCCUGUACACCCAGAUUCGCAACCGUGCCCUCAUCCAGGUAAGCGUGGGGGUCAGGCUGGCGCACGGCAGGCGGGCAUGCAGGGGGCUGUGGAGCUGACUUUCCUCUGCCCUGCAGUAUUUCAGCCCCUACGUGUCAGCCGACAUGCAUAGGAUGGCGGCAGCCUUCAAUACCACGGUGGCCGCCCUGGAGGAUGAGCUGACGCAGCUAAUCCUGGAGGGGCUGAUCAGUGCCCGUGUGGACUCACACAGCAAGGUGGCUGUGGGCUGUGGGGCGGUGGGGGCAGCUGGGGGUGAGCCUGGGCCCCGCUGAGCCUGUGCCCGCACAGAUCCUGUACGCCCGGGACGUGGAUCAGCGCAGCACCACCUUUGAGAAGUCUCUGUUGAUGGGCAAGGAGUUCCAGCGCCGUGCCAAGGCCAUGAUGCUGCGGGCAGCUGUGCUCCGCAACCAGAUCCAUGUCAAGUCCCCGCCCAGAGAAGGGAGCCAGGGGGAGCUGACUCCAGCCAACAGCCAGUCCCGGAUGAGCAC